GUCAGCAUUUUGAUACAAUGGAAAGGUGUGCAACUACGAUUCACUACCCAUCGACGGACCUCACUGUGGUUAACCUCGUGGCCCGGCUUCGUCGUAUAUAAAGCCAUGUGGUUUCAGAAACAGCUGAUCCGGCCAAGAACUAGCUGAUCCAAUGCGAAACGACAGCUCGCAUACAAGACAAAAGGACUUAAAAAUUAAUGAACACUUGAAUUAAAUUAAACAAGAAGUGAUCAAAAAUAUCAGAAAUGGAACUAAUUAAAUUUGUAACAUGUUGCUGUCUUGCGUCCAUCUUAUUGACAGAUGUCGUACUGGCAUCACCAGCUAGAUCACGUGACAUAAUUUCUGAAGCUGAACGUCUAGAAUAUGCCAUUGAAGAAGGUUUGUCAGUAUAUAGGACUGAAAAGAAAAGACGACGAAGACACCGUCGCAGAACAAAUUUACUCAUUGAAGCAAUGCGCAUGUGCCGUAAUUUCCGACAUUACCCACGGGACAGAAUACCUGAAAGAUGUAGGGACAUGAUUUUUAGGCAAGACGAGCGUCGGAGGGGUCAUGGUGGUCCAACAAUUGUCAUUAUAGAAAAAUAGAUAAAUAUACUGAAACUUUUGGAAUAAACUCAGGAAUACUAUUACUAUACCAAGUCGUCAAAUGGAAAAAAAUAAAUCAAAUUGUCGAAGAUUUUGCACCGGAAUAUACAAUGAACAAAAGUGCGAUUAACACUGUGUUUUAACAAUGUCAUUUUGACACACAGAACAAAAUGUGGCAAAGGAACAAUACAUUUGUUUUCAGUUCCUUUUGCUUGCUUGCCUGUAUGUGUGACUGGUUUUUUUUUACGAGCGAGUGCAGGAUCGAGAUUUCUCUAUUUUCUAAUGUCCUCUUGUCGGACUUACUUUUGGGCCCCCAGUAAGUCCAAUUAAAAACUCGUUAGUUGAUAAAAUAAUCUCGAUCAAUGUUUGAAUGGGUUUGAAUUGUAAUUUAUUAAGGAGCAGAGUUAAUACGUGCAUGUUAGUAAAAUGUUUCAGUAGUUGGUACAAAAGAUGUAGUGGUAUGAUGCUUUUAAUUGAUACGAAAGUUUUGGUACAAAAAUGUUUGGAAUCCGAUACUUAUCUUCCAUCAACGUAUAUAUAUUAAGUAAACCUAACAAAUCAUGACUUGUAAUCGCUGAUCUCAAUCAAUUUGAAUGAUAGAGAAGAUAAAAUGGUCAGAUUUCAAGCUUUGAGGCUCGAGAAUAUUAUCUGGUAGUUGGUGCAAAUACGCACAUCAUUUUAUAUUCAUAAACUUCCUGUCUCUCUAAUGCAUUUUACAUCAAACAUUUGUGCAAUAUUUUUCUCAUGUGAACUAGUGAGGAGUGUAUUAUAAAAUUGUAAUGUCUGCAAUAUUUGCGGUGAUAAAAUGGCCAAAUUUUAUAGAUUAUUGAUAUUUUGAUAUCAAAAAUCAUAUUUAAUUUAUUAAUAAAAGUUUUUGAAAAAUU